GAGCUUCAACCAGAAGAGAAUCAAAGAGAACUUUGAGGUUUUUAACUUUGAAUUGACUCCAGAAGACAUGAAAGCAAUUGAAGGCCUCAACAGGAAUUUCCGAUAUUUCAAACUACCGUUUGCUGUCGGUCAUCCUCAUUACCCAUUUUCUGAAGAAUACUGACCACGAGCUAUCAGCAUUCGCUCUACCAGAAUUUCUCCCUUUCAGGGCUCGGAAAGGCUUCUGUGCGUGCUGGAGAUGAUUAACAGCAGUGUCUGUGGCUUCAGGCUGCUUGCCUGUCUUUCUUUUCUUUUCUUUUCUUUUCUUUUCUUUUCUUUUUUUUCUUUUUAAAGAAACAAUAAAGACUUCAAAAUAAGC
rnacentral:lncRNA from 1 species